ACCAUCAAUAGAAGUCAGCGGAAAUGUGACAAUUGAGACCUGAGUGGAAUGUGGCUAAGAGUGUUGUUGAAAGUUGAACUACUGCUGGGUAUGUUACAGAGACAUAAGUGGUCCUGGCGAGAGUGGAAAUGAUGCCGCCACACAUUACCACCAUUUAGGAGGUAAAAUUUAGGAGAAUUAGAAAACCUCUAAGGAAUUUGCUGCUUUGGAUGCUUCGCAUCACCCUUUUAUGAACUGAAUUGCAAUGAAACAGAUCUCAUAAUGGACAUGCAAAUGCUUCAGUGAUGUGUCGUGUUUGUACAAAUUUGAGGAAAAUGCAUCUAGUACUGCUCACGUUGCAUAGCACAAGUGUGUCAUAAUGACAGUGGAAAUGGAACCACCACACCAUACCAUGAAUUUUGAGGUAGUGGUCUUACGCCGGGCUGAUCCACCGUCCUAGCAAUCCUAUCAACUGGCUGACUAUGAGAUUAUGAAACUGGAGAGAAGUAAAGCGUUUCACAUAUGCUCUAUGCCAGUGCUUCUCCACCUCCGGGCCGCGGCCCUGUAGUGGGCCCUGGCAUCAAUUAUACUGGGCCGCGAGAGGCUGUUCUGGAAUUUUGUCAUUUUCAUUUUCUAU